CACCCCAAUGACCAGACAGACGAGUAUACUAUAAUUAAAAUAAACUUUAUUAAAUAUUUAAAAGGAAAGGGGAGAAAGGGGGAAGGGCAAUUUAAAACUAAAGUGUCUCUUCUCCGCCUCCAGGGCCACUUGAGGGGAAAGACUGGGGACAGGGGCUCCGUAGGGGCUCUGGCCCAACAAUCCGUGGCGCGCUCCGCUUCUCCUGGAGGCAGAAUCAAACAAAAGUCAGAAAGAUAAGGUACUUUGAUGCCAAACGCUGUUCGUCCACCCGAGACCUUCGGCAGAACAGGUAAGUAAGGGUUUGCACACAGGUCAAGUUUACUCCUCAGGUUUCGCUAUCCCCGGUGCUGAAGGCCCUUCCUCCACGCAGGGGUUCACUUGGACAGGUAGGUAUCUGCUGGGAGCACGGAACAGUUUUACUUCACAGGUUAUGUUACUCACAGCGCUGGGGGAUCUUCGUGUCCACAGGACAUCACAGGUACAGGUAGGUAAUUGCUCUAAGCACAGAACAGGUUAACUUCACAGCGCUGGGGGAUCUUCGUGUCCACAGGACAUCACAGGUACAGGUAGGUAAUUGCUCUAAGCACAGAACAGGUUAACUUCACAGGUCACGUUACUCACAGCACUGGGGAUUUUCGUUCGCACACAGAGCUUCACUUGUACAGGUAGGUAUUUGCUAUAAGCACAGAACAGGUUUACUUUACAGGUCACGUUACUCACAGCACUGGGGAUCUUCGUACACACACAGA